UGUUUAUUUACACUUAAUUUUUAAAACCAGCUUGGCAAAUGUCUCCAUUACAGGGUAAUUCUUAUGUAGCCAUUUUUUUCCCCCCACAGGACUUGGAGCAUGGUCUUUGAUCUGGAAUAUUUUGGAUGGGAGACAAAGUAUUGGGAUGAAAUCUAAAAGUUUGUAUACACAGGACUUCUUCCAGUGCUCUCAGCCAAAGCCAAUACCCAGCCACGGCUAAAUCAUUCUAAUGAUGUGGGGAGAAGCAGCCAAGCAUCUCCAAAGUGCUUGUUCCCUGGGCCUUGAUGUGUUGCUGCGACAGCCGUCCUUCACCAGAUAGACACAUCCCAGGUGAUGGCAGGUGAUACCAGCCUGGCUGCAUUCCACACAGGGCCAUAGGCUCCAGCGUCCCACAUCAGCAAUGCAGUGUGUUCAGAUGACCGAGACCCAAUGACAAGCCCUGAGUGCAGUCACCCGCAUCAUUUCUGUCAUCAUCUACUGUGCCAGUGGAUCCUUAUGUUGGUCAACACGUCUGCAUAAGAAACACCUCG
rnacentral:lncRNA from 1 species